UCGUCAUCUUCUUCUUCUUCGUGUUUUUUUUUGGUCCGAAGAUGGAAAUGCUCAAAUCAAAAUGAGAGGGAGCGUGGUUCGUGUUUUUUCACCAGCUUUAACUCGCCAUUGCCACCAUCUUUUGUAGCUACUGCUACUACUACUACUACUACUACUACUACUACUUCUUCUUCUUCUUCUUCUUCUUCUUCUUCUUCUUCAUACAUACAUACAAUAUAUAUACACACACAUACAUACAUAUUUACUAAAGGUGGUUCGGUGGUUGCGUGUUAGGGCUUCUGAAGAACACCCAUUAGCUUCUUCCGCAGACGAGUCUUCUCAAGCUAUGAGAUCUGAGGGCUUUUUCAUUUUAUUUUUAAUUUCAUAUUUUAUAAUGUGUAGCUCCAAAUAUUUUGUUUCAUUUUUUCUUUAAUGGAUAUUAAUUUAGAUUCUUGCUAUUGCUUAUUUUGAACCAUUUUAUAGUGUCUAGAGUGAGAUGAUGAUGAUGAAUGCUGUGGGCUCUGAGCAGUUGAUUGAUGGACAUGCAGCCCAGAAAGCUUCAUCCGAAUCCACACUCUUAAUCUUAAAGUGAGUGUGGAGCUUCUGUUCAUUUUCAGUAUCCAGCUCACCCCUAUUCCAGAAGCAUAAUCUUCAGCAGCCCGGAGGAGUUCCACUAGUUGAGCAGCAGCAUCAAGUGCAUUUGGAGCCCAUGACGGUGGUUCUUGUAGAAGUCCAAGAAGAAGUCUUUUGGUGGCAUUUGGAGUAGCAAUGGCAUAAUACCUAAUACAAAAUUUAAUAGUUGUAGUCAACAAAGCCAAGUUGGUCACUUAGAAAUGAUCUUCUGCAAUGUUAAUUGAAAAAGGAAAGGAGCCAUCCAACACCUAUGAAAUAAACACGCAUAUGGCUCAAGAGCUGGAAGCCCAGCAACUAGAUGUUCAUCCAAAGCUGUUGUACGUGGAGGAAGCAAAAGUGCAGGGACAGCAACUGCUGCCAAAGUAGCAGUUUCAUAUCGAGCAACUUCCUGGUCACAUACAAUUAAUUUAACACCAACACCAUUGGCUACUGCCCACUUUGGAGUUGAUGGCAUCAGCUAAGGAUGCUUUCCAGAUCCACGAGAAGCUAAGAUGGGUUCUUUAAGAAUGAUGAUAUGAUGAAUACACUGGACUCUGAGCAGUUGAUUGAUGGACAUGCAGCCUAGUAAGCUUCAUUUGAAUCCACACUCUUAAUGUUAAAGUUAGUGUGGAGCUUCUGUUCAUUUUCAGGUCGUUUUCCUCGUUUUAUUGUUUACUGAUCUUUUAGUUGAGUUCUUACUAUUUUAUAGCCUUCUAUGAUAAUGGUGUUGCCCUGUGAUGGAAAAACUCAAUUUUGUAAACAAAUUCUCCUUGGUUUUCAUCUCUGUCCUUUACAUCUUUGUUAUCUUUUUGUGUAUUUAUGAAAUAAUCCCUUAUUAUUACCACCCCCACCAUUACCAUUACCUCUCUCUCUCUCUCUCUCUGAGGUUUUUGAAGAUGUAAAUGGACUGAUGAAAAAUCUGUGGUUAAUAUUGUUAAUGAUCCAAUGUAGCUAUGAGAUCUGAGGGCUUUCUAAUAAUAAUACAUUUUGAUGGGUUACUUUUCUUACUUCUGUACUGUGUCUUCGUUUCAUCAGUGGUUGAUUGCAAAUGUAAAUCAUAUCAGUGGUUGAUUGCAAAUGUAAAUCAUACUCUGGGUCAGUACUCUAUACCUGUCUUUGGUCUUCGUUCUUAUACUAAUUACAAAACACUCACCAUAUUUUAUGUCAAACUGUAGUUGAUCUAUGAUUCGUAAGUAACAAUAUAAUCUGUAAAAUUGGUCUUACUAUUUUUUUCCCUUUUCCAUGCUUUGUGGAUUUCUCAAAUGAUAGUUUUCCUUUGCCCUGUGAUGGAAAAACUCAAUUUUGUAAACAAUUCUAUGGCAUUUCAUUAUGAGCAUUGAUAUUAGGCACAAGUGGUGCCUAGCAUCACCUUGAGGUGGCGCUCUUGGUUAACGAUACUCCCUAAAAGUUAUUAUCUUAAGUGAUAUGGGACUUGAUACUUGCACCAAUAGCGAUAUGACACUAAGGAGGGUGCUAGGCACCAGUAGUGCCUUUUAACAUUUCUCUUUCAUUAUAUGCCUCCACAUCUUUUUUGCCUCACUAUUUUUAUCAUCAUCGUUGUCCCUCUUCUUCUUCUUCCAAUCUCAGUUGCUCUCUCUCUCUCUCUCUCUCUCUCUUUUACAAGGUUAUUGAAGAUGUGGAUUGGCCUUGAUGAAAAGUCGUUGGUUAUAUUGUUAGUGAUCAUUUUUAGCUAUGAGAUCUGAGGGCUUUCAUAUUACUCUUAUGUUUUAUUGCUUGUUUUGUUUUACAAUGAGUUAGUCAUUUCUCAAUAAUUUUUCCGUUGUCUUUACAUUUUUGUUCUACACAUAUUUUGUUAACGAGUCAUAUAUAUAUCUAUGGUAGAAUGCUUAAUUCUACCUGAUUUUUCAAGUUUUAAUUGAAGGACUGUAAUUUCAAAUGACUAAUAUGCACGGUACGUCAGUUUCUGUCUAAUGAUGAGAACGUUUAUUAUUUAUUGAUAUGUGCAUUGAUUUCUUAUUUGAGCCAUCAUUUUUUCUGCUCCUAACAAAACCUUAUUCAAAAAUUCAGUUUUAUUGUUACCAAAACAUUAUGAGCAUUGCCACCUAACAUGAAUAUUUAGUGGUUUCUAAUAUUCUUAAACUAAAAUAUGUGGUACCCAACUUGCACUAAUAAGAGUAUGUUCACCACUGGUGCUCCAUAGAAAUUCUUUGACUUUACACUAUUUUUUUUAUGACUAUUAUGAUUUUCUUUUUGUGGUUGUGACUUGUGAGGAUGUUGAUAUGCGCUUGGUGGUGAAAGCCGACAAUUAGGGGUGUUCAUUGGAUCACAUCCAAUAGAUUUUGACCUAACCGAUCCAAUCUAAUUAUUUAUUGGAUAUUAAAUUUUGUCAUCCGAUCCAAUCCAAUCGAAUUGAGUCAUCCGAACCGAUCCAAUGGAUGUAUUGGAUUGGAUUGGUUCUAACCAUUGGAUGCAUCGAUUGGUUUUUUAUUAGAUUGGAUUGGAUCCAUCCAAUCUAUUAUAACUACCAUUUAAGUUAAUUUUAUUAAAAAAUAUAUAUAUAAACAAAAACUAAAUAAUCCAAUAUACAUAAUAAACAUUAGUUUAGACCAACUUAAUUCUCAUGAUCUCAUAAUAAAACUGCUAAAAAAUAAAAUUUAUUCAAUAAUCAUUGACAAUUUUAUUAGCAUUUAAGACGAUGAGAAUUAAUAUUUUAGAUCUAAUUUUUUUUUUCUUUAAUCUCACGUGUUAAAUAUAUAUUAAAUCAAUUAAUAUAUAUUUCUAAAUAAAAUAUAUUAAAUAUAUAAAAUUAUAAAUGUAUUUUAGAAAUAUAUAUAUAUAAUUGCAAUGGAUGUAUUGGAUUGGAUUGGUUUUAACCAUUGGAUGCAUCGAUUGGUUUUUUAUUAGAUUGGAUUGGAUCCAUCCAAUCUAUUUUAACUACCAUUUAAGUUAAUUUUAUUAAAAAAUAUAUAUAUAAACAAAAACUAAAUAAUCAAAUAUACAUAAUAAACAUUAGUUUAGACCAACUUAAUUCUCAUGAUCUCAUAAUAAAACUGCUAAAAAAUAAAAUUUAUUCAAUAAUCAUUGACAAUUUUAUUAGCAUUUAAGACGAUGAGAAUUAAUAUUUUAGAUCUAAUUUUUUUUUUCUUUAAUCUCACGUGUUAAAUAUAUAUUUCUAAAUAAAAUAUAUUAAAUAUAUAAAAUUAUAAAUGUAUUUUAGAAAUAUAUAUAUAUAAUUGGAUGACCAUUGGAUGAUAAUUGGAUCGGUUUGGUUGGUUAUCCAUUGGAUUGGAUGUCCCAUCCAACAACCGAUCUGAUCCGAUUGGAUUUUCAGAAUUUACAUCCGACCCGAUCCAAUUAUGUUUGGAUAUCCAAUUCUAUUGGAUCGGUCAAUUGUAAUUGGAUUGGAUGACUUUCUGCACACCCCUACCGACAAUGGUGGUUGAAGCCGCCGUGUCUAACCUUGAAGAUGCUAAUCUAUAGUGAGUAGAAAUGAAUGGAACACCUAUUGACUAUAUUUAAUCAGAUGAUGAGAAUGUUUGGUGUUGAUAUCAUUUACAGCCUCCAUCUUAGUCUGCUCCAACCAUAUUCGGCGGAUAUUGUCAUCCAUAGCUUAGUGGAUGGGGAUUCACCCUUAAGAAAGCCAUUACAAUUUACAACUGUUGUUUGAUCCCCAUUUGGCCAGCUCAAGAACCGGGGUAUUACAACUUCUUCGAAAACAAGAAGGAAUGAAACCAGUAGUCAACAGUCCAAGAGAAAAUCAACAUUGGAAUUGUCAGGGCCAGCUCCUUAGAGACCUGCAAACCAACGAUUAAGGCAGCCAAUUCUCAUUACAUAGAACCUCUAGCCUCCAUCUUCGUAGCAAGUAAAGACACAACAUUACCCCGUCGUCCUUGACCACCACUACAACACCCGCCCUCCCUCCUUUAGCUUGCAAUUGCAUCAACCGUAACUUGUUUCCUUCCUAGCCUCUUGUAUUGCUGCUGCUGUUGUUGGUGAGUUGCAUCUUACGGUUGUAGAGGUGUCUGAGCUGUGGUUGUGGUGGUAUUGGUGUAAGCCAUUGAGGAUUUUUGAAGCUCCACUGAUUAAUUUAUGAAUAGGUACUUAAAUUUCAUUUUCUUCUUCUAUAUUUGUGAUCAAUUUGGUAUUUUACUAAAGAUACUAAUCAACAAAUUAUUAUACUCUUUCUCAAAAACCAAAAAAAUAUAUAUUAUACUUAUGUAAUUGGUUUCAUUUUUUUAUAACAAGGGUAAAAUUUUUA